AGAGUUUGAUCCUGGCUCAGAAUGAACGUUGGCGGCGUGGAUUAGGCAUGCGAGUCGCGCGAGAAUCGUAGCAAUACGAGGACAGCGGCGAAAGGGAGAGGAAUAAGUAGAAAUCUACCCUCGGGACGGGGAUAGCGGCGGGAAACUGCCAGUAAUACCCGAUAACGUCCUAGGACCAAAGGUGUGAUUCCGCCUGAGGAUGAGUCUACUUCCUAUUAGCUUGUUGGCGGGGUAAUGGCCCACCAAGGCAACGAUGGGUAGCAGGUGUGAGAGCAUGACCUGCCUCAUUGGGACUGAGACACUGCCCAGACACCUACGGGUGGCUGCAGUCGAGAAUCUUCGGCAAUGGACGAAAGUCUGACCGAGCGACGCCGCGUGCGGGAUGAAGGCCUUCGGGUUGUAAACCGCUGUCGUAGGGGAACAAAUGUACGGGGGUUCUCCCCUGUAUUCGAGUGAUCCUAGGAGGAAGGAGAGGCUAAGCUCGUGCCAGCAGCCGCGGUAAGACGAGCUCUCCAAACGUUAUUCGGUAUCACUGGGCUUAAAGAGUUCGUAGGCGGUCUGGUAGGUGAGGUGUGAAAUCCCCCGGCUCAACCGGGGGACUGCGCUUCAAACCGCCGGACUUGAGGGAGACAGAGGUGGGCGGAACAGAUGGUGGAGCGGUGAAAUGCGUUGAUAUCAUCUGGAACACCGGUGGCGAAAGCGGCCCACUGGGUCUUUUCUGACGCUGAGGAACGAAA
rnacentral:rRNA from 1 species